AAUUUUGGACAAUGGGGGAAACCCUGAUCCAGCCAUCCCGCGUGUAUGAUGUAUGCCUUCGGGAUGUAAAGUACUUUUGGCAGAGAAGAAAAGGUAUCUCCUAAUACGAGAUACUGCUGACAGUAUCCGCAGAAUAAGCAACGGCUAACUACGUGCCAGCAGCCGCGGUAAUAUGUAGAGUGCAAGCGUUAAACUGAAAUACUGGGCGUAAAGCGUGUGUAGGCGGUUCGGACAGAAAGAUGUGAAAUCCCAGGGCUCAACCUUAGAACUGCAUUUUUAACUGCCGAGCUAGAGUAUGUCAGAGGGGGGUAGAAUUCCACGUGUAGCAGUGGAAUGCGUAGAUAUGUGGAGGAAUACCGAUGGCGAAGGCAGCCCCCUGGGAUAAUACUGACGCUCAGACACGAAAGCGUGGGGAGCAAACAGG
rnacentral:rRNA from 1 species